CUGGCAUCUUAAGUGGCCACCUGAAGAGCUGGAUGACACAGUCCAGAAGUCUGGUGUGCUAAUUCCCAUGGAACAAACUUUGAUCACUGGGAAACUGAAGAUGGGAGGGAGAAAAUGCUUCAUGGUUCCAGCAUUUGUUUGAGGAUCUAUGUCACAUCUCACAUCAAUUUUUGUUCAUGGAGUGAGGCCAUGAAAGAAAGAUGAAGAAGAUCCUUGGGCCUGUACAAAUUUGGGAAAAAGAGUCACCCUAUUAGUCAGUAAGUUUUGUUUGUUUGAUUCUGUUUAAUCCUGAAUCUGAGGACUAAUCUUAGAGUAAGGCAAAACAGAAAG